GACGGGGACCCGCACAAGCGGUGGAUGAUGUGGAUUAAUUCGAUGCAACGCGAAGAACCUUACUACCCUUGACAUGUCCGGAACUUGCCAGAGAUGGCUUGGUGCCCGAAAGGGAAUCGGAACACAGGUGCUGCAUGGCUGUCGUCAGCUCGUGUCGUGAGAUGUUGGGUUAAGUCCCGCAACGAGCGCAACCCUUAUCAUUAGUUGCUACGCAAGGGCACUCUAAUGAGACUGCCGGUGACAAACCGGAGGAAGUGGGGAUGACGUCAAGUCCUCAUGGCCCUUAUGGGUAGGGCUUCACACGUCAUACAAUGGUCGGUACAGAGGGUUGCCAAGCCGCGAGGCGGAGCCAAUCCCACAAAGCCGAUCGUAGUCCGGAUUGUUCUCUGCAACUCGAGAGCAUGAAGUCGGAAUCGCUAGUAAUCGCAGGUCAGCAUACUGCGGUGAAUACGUUCCCGGGUCUU
rnacentral:rRNA from 1 species